UUCCGGUUGAUCCUGCCGGACCUGACUGCUAUCGGAUUGAUACUAAGCCAUGCGAGUCUUUGCAGUAAUGCAAGGCAUACGGCUCAGUAACACGUAGUCAACUUACCCUAUGGACGAGGAUAAUCUCGGGAAACUGAGCAUAAUACUCGAUAGAUCAUAAUGCCUGGAAUGGUUUAUGGUUGAAAUGAUUCGUCGCCAUAGGAUGGGACUGCGGCCUAUCAGCUUGUUGGUGAGGUAAUGGCCCACCAAGGCGAUUACAGGUACGGGCUCUGAGAGGAGAAGCCCGGAGAUGGGUACUGAGACAAGGACCCAGGCCCUAUGGGGCGCAGCAGGCGAGAAAACUUUGCAAUGUGCGAAAGCACGACAAGGUUAAUCCGAGUGAUUUCUGCUAAAGAAAUCUUUUGCAAGUCAUAAAACCACUAGUGAAUAAGGGGUGGGCAAGUUCUGGUGUCAGCCGCCGCGGUAAAACCAGCACCUCAAGUGGUCAGGAGGAUUAUUGGGCCUAAAGCAUCCGUAGCCGGCUCUGUAAGUUUUCGGUUAAAUCCAUGUGCUCAACGCAUGGGCUGCCGAAAAUACUGCAUAGCUAGGGAGUGGGAGAGGUAGACGGUACUCGGUAGGAAGGGGUAAAAUCCUUUGAUCUAUCGAUGACCACCUGUGGCGAAGGCGGUCUACCAGAACACGUUCGACGGUGAGGGAUGAAAGCUGGGGGAGCAAACCGGAUUAGAUACCCGGGUAGUCCCAGCCGUAAACGAUGCAGACUCGAUGAUGCAUUGGCAUAUAGCCAGUGCAGUGUCGCAGGGAAGCCGUUAAGUCUGCCGCCUGGGAAGUACGUACGCAAGUAUGAAACUUAAAGGAAUUGGCGGGGGAGCACCACAAGGGGUGAAGCCUGCGGUUCAAUUGGAGUCAACGCCGGGA
rnacentral:rRNA from 1 species